UGCGGGGAAUACAUACGCAAUCUCAGCUGAUUCUGUUAUGAAAACGGUUUGAUGCAAAUUUGCGACGGUAGACGUUAAGGGGUUUAAAAUCUUGUUAAAAU